CUUGUUUUCAUUUUAUUUCUUCUCUCACAUAUUUGGAAGUUAUAAACCCCCUUUCUAUUAUUUUAUGGCUAACCUUUGAAGUUUUACCAUGCACACCUAAAACUUGAAAGAUCUUAAGUUAAUAACUUGAUAUCAACUUGAAUAAUAUGUGCUAUGAUCUGAAUGUUUGCAUUUUCUGAAAAUUUAAAUGUUAAAACCUUCACCCCCACAGUGAUAGUAUUAAGAAGUGGGGGCUUUGGGGUGUGAUUAAGUCAGGAGAGUAGAGCAUUCAUGAACGGGUGUAGUGCCCUUGUAAAAUAGGUCCAAAGAAACUUCUCUGCCCUUCCACCAUAGGAGGACACAAGAAGGCCCCAUCUAUGAGAAGGCAAGCCCUAACCAGACAUCACAUCUGUUUAUGCCUUAAUCAUGGACUUCCCAGCCUCCAGAACAGUGAGAAAUACAUUUCUGUUCAUAAGCUACCCAGUUUAUAGUAUUUUUGUUAUAAUAGCCCAAAUGGAGUAAGACAAUACAGAAUUUAGUACACUUUAAUUUCAGUCAACAGUUUCUUACUUUAUAUGAUGAAAAAUUCUCAAUAUUGUAGAUCUCUUUUUUUUCCAAUCACAUAAACUGGACAUUAUUCAUAUUUUAAUUGAGUAUAAGCAUAAUUUUUUAAAGAUUUGUUACAUGCUUACCAGAGUUUUGCUUAUAUCCUCUUUCAGUUUUGGAUCUUCUUUCUGGAGUCAUUUUCCUGCCACUUGAAGGACUGUGAAGUUUUUAGGGGUUAUUUUAAUGAAAUUCUAUUUUUUUAUAAACUCUCAAUUUUUGUUUGUCAAAAAUGUCUUUAUUUUUCUUUUUGCUCUUGAGGGAUAAUUUUGUUGUACACAGUUCUGAGUUGAGAGUUAUGUUUCAGCACCAUGAAGAUGUCAUUAAACUGCCUUUUGUUUCCCAUUAUGGCUUUUGAGACAUCAGUUUUCCACUAAUUAUGUUUCUUUUCUUUUGUACAGAUCUGUCUUUUUUUCUCUGGCAGCUUUUAAGAUGUUCUCUUGGUUUUUGUUUGAAGUUUCACUAAAACUUCAAACAAAUGUUUAGAAGUAUUUUUUAGAAAUGUAUUUGGCUAUAUUAGUAGGGCAGUACAGAUAUGGGUCCACUUAUUUUCCUUCAACUAUCCUGGCUCAGUGGAUGAGUUUCAGGUUUGUUCUGGAUUUCGUUGUGGCUUGCAUUUAUGCCAAGGGUAACUCUGGGUUUAACAUUCCUAAUCAGCGUUUGGUUUCAGCUCACUGUUCUAGAGUUUGUUUGUUUGUUUUUAAAGAACCUUCAUUCAUUAAUUUUAUUUUAGGGGUUUCCCUUUCUUUUUCAGAAUUCUAUCAAUGCAUUAAAGAAGUACAUUUGUUAUGUAGAUCAUCUUUUUCUCUCCAUUUCAUCUCUCUAACCCUCCUUAGCUGGAAAAUGUUCUUCACUUUUAGGAACUCAUGAUUGGAAUUGACCCACCUAGAAAAUCCAGAAUAAUCUCCCCAUCUCAAGGUCCAUAAUCUUGAUCAAAUAUGCAAAAUCCCCUUUUCCAUGUUCCUCAUCUGUACAAUGAGACUAAUACCUUCUCAGUUAUAUUUUGGUGAAGAUCCAGACAUUGAUUUUUAGUGAGGAUCAGCUGAUGAGAUCAGCAAUGUGGGAGACAGGAGCUUCACCUUCAGGCUGGAUUCCAUGAUGGAGAAAACACAUGGAGCAGACCAGCAGUUAUUUGCAGCUAUCAUGUGAGCUGCUACGACUCCCUAGCCUUAAUCCAGCCCAGAUCUCAGCAGAAACUUAACACCACUCUGGUGACCCUGGAAUUGCAGCAGAGGCUCAAAUCACCAAAUAAGUGGGAAACAGUCUUCCAAGGCUACUUGCUAUACAAACAUCCUUGAAAGAUAGCCCAGAAGAAAGGACAGCCAGUGCCUCUGCUCACAACACAUGCAAAAAUGGUUACAGCCAGGAUUGAGAACCCCUAGCCUGUGCAAUGGAAUAUGCUGCCAUAGAAGCUCCUUUCCAUUACGUGUUUAGGACACAGUCACAAGGCACCAUCUUGGAAAGAGGGAAUGGGACCCUCACCAGAUACAAAUGCCAGUGCCCUGAUCUUGGACUUCCCAGCCUCCAGAACUGUCUCCCUAUUCCUUGGGACACAACUGUAUUGAAAUUAGACCAACUAAUACUUCUACAAAGACUUCUGAGUGUUGAAGUGAAAGGAAGAGUUGCACGUCUCUUAUUUUAAAUCAAAAGCUAGACAUGAUGAAGCUUAGUGAGAAAGGUCUGUAGAAAGAUAAGAUGGGCCAAAAGCUAGGCCUCUUGCAUCAGCUAACUGUGGUGUGAAUGCAAAGGAAAAGCUUUUGAGGAAAAUGAAAAUUC
rnacentral:lncRNA from 1 species